AUGCAACCAUACAUAGUCAUAAUACGAGAAACUCGUCCCUAAUCCCCCUGUUCGAACAAGAACAGCCCUGUAUUCAAAUUAUUUUUUACCGGCAACUGUACGUUCAUGGAAUCUCCUCCCUGAGAAUGCUAAGACCAGUACUUCGGUGGGGGCAUUCAGAAAUUGUGUCCAGUCUCGGGCGAUUAAACCUCCAAAUUAUUUUUACAUUGGUAAGCGAUUGGGUCAAAUUUAUCACUCAAGACUUCGUAUGCAAUGCAGUUCUCUAAAUCAUCAUCUGUUUGUUAAAAAUAUAGUGGAUUCGCCACUUUGUUUAUGUGGUGCUAUAGAAACGACAGCGCACUACUUGUUGCACUGCCCCCGUUUUCACAUUAUGCGUGAACAGCAUUUUUAUAAUAUCAAUAAAAUACAUUUUUUGUCGGAAGAAAUCUUGCUACACGGUUCAACGGACUUCAGCUACGAACAAAACAUUGAAAUAUUCUUGGCAGUUCAAACAUUUAUACUCAGUAGUAAAAGAUUUGUCAUAUGAUAGCACACAUCUUGUUCAACAAGUAAUACUUAUAUCUUAAAUAAUUGUGUCCGUUCAGAAACAUACACUUUAUUAUUGAAUUUCCGAUGUAUAUUUUUUUCUUCUUUCUUGUGUGUCACAACCUUAUUAUAUGUUUUUUUUUUUUUUUUUUUUUGUCACAACCUUAUUAUAUGUUUUUUUUUUUUCUUUCCAUCUAGUGUAACAUUGUUAUUUUUUAUAACAUUUUACUCCUUGAGUAUUACAAUAUGAAAUGUUCUUAUUAGGAAACGGAUUAAUAUAAGCUAAGAGCUUGUUUCUGGAUCCUAUUAAUUAU
rnacentral:lncRNA from 1 species